GUCAGGAUGGCCGAGCGGUCUAAGGCGCUGCGUUAAGGUCGUGCAGUCUCUCCUGGAGGCGUGGGUUCAAAUCCCACUUCUGACA